rnacentral:lncRNA from 1 species
UCCUUAUUUAACGGAAUGGUUAACUUUUCCGUUAUCUAAACUAAACAUCAUUAUUUAUUUACAAAAUAAAUUUCCACAUAUUAUCCUAGUUAUUGUUUUUUCUUUUAAUAACUAUUGAAUUUUCCUCUUCCUCCCCCUUCUUCAUCGUCAUAUUCUCUCAACUUUGCCCAAAUAAAAUUUUCAUCAAAAAUCCUAAAACACAACUUGUUUGCA